UACAAUUCAAGAUGAGAUGUGGGCGGGG
rnacentral:piRNA from 1 species